AGCUACGUAGCUCAGGGGAAGAGCGCCGGGCUCAUAACCCGGAGGACGUUGGAUCGAAACCAAUCGUAGCUA